rnacentral:lncRNA from 1 species
CCGAACUCCGUCCUGCCCCUUUUUUGGCCCAGGGCGACCUCGACAGCCCUGACAGCGACAGGCCCGCCGCAGUGCCCAGAAAGGCCCCCGGUGGCCCAGCGCCUCCCCGGCUCUUUCUGGAUGGAGGAGCCUCAGGAAGGAGCUGGCUGACGCUCUGGCCUGCACUCUCCAGCCGCUGCUGACCACACCUCCCCUAGUGCAGAGGCCGCUGUGAGGAGCAGGAAAUGCUGCACCAGCACAGCUGGCUCCCCGGGAUCUUGGUCUGAACGCUAGGAUGGAGCUGGGGGCAGCGACGGAAACCUUCGUGCUGGAGCUCCGGUGUCUUGAAGAUGGGGGCCCAUGUCCUGGCACCCUGUCAGGUGGCAGCGGUGGGAGUGAGAGUCAAGAGGAAGAAGAGGCUCAGGAUAAGAACGGCAGCCCUCCACGGCCAACAAGCGCCGCCCCAACGGGGGCCAGGGAACUGGCUGAGGAAGCAGCGCCCGGACAGCAGGAGUUGCAGCGGCAACAGUCAGAGCUGCAACCAGAGCAGCAACCACAAAGCCAGCCAGCAGGAUGGCAGCUAGAAUUGAAGCAGCAGCAGCAGCAGCAACACCUGCAGCAGGAACAGUUACAGCAGAAGCAGGAGGAACAGUUACAGCAGCACCAGCAGCAGCGACAACACCUGCAGCAGGAACAGUUACAGCAGAAGCAGGAGGAACAGUUACAGCAGCAGCAGCAGCAGCAGGAACAGCAGAAUCAGGAGAAACAGUUACAGCAGCAGCACCUGCAGCCGCAGGAACAGUUACAGGUGCUGCAGCAGCAGCAGGAACAGUUACAGCUGCAGCAGCUGCAGCAGCAGCAGCAGGAACAGUUACAGCUUCAGCAGCUGCAGCAGCAGGAACAGUUACAGCAGCAGCUGCUACAGCAGCAGCUGCUACAGCAGCAACAGUUACAGCAGCAGCAGCAGCUGCAGCAGCAAGAACAGUUACAGCAGCAGCAGCUGUUGCAGCAACAGCAGAUGCAGCAGCAAGAACAGUUGCAACAGCAGCAGCAGCCCGGUCCACUGGAGCCAGAGGAGGAGGAAGAGGUGGAGCUGGAGCUCAUGCCGGUGGACCUGGGGACGGAGCAGGAACUGGAGCAGCAGCGGCAGGAGCUAGAGCGGCAGCAGGAGCUGGAGAGAGAACAGGAACAGCGGCAGCUGCAGCUCAAACUGCAGGAGCAGCUGCAGCAGCUGGAGCAGCAGCUGGAGCAGCAGCAGCAGCUGGAGGAACAGCAGGAGGUGCAGCUGGAGCUGACCCCGGUGGAGCUGGGAGCCCAGCAGCAGGAGGUGCAGCUGGAGCUGACCCCCGUGCAGCCGGAGCUGCAGCUGGAGCUGGUGCCCGCCGCGGGGGGCGGCGGGACUUCGGCCCCGGGGCCCCCAGCCGCGGUCGUGGUGGCCCCCCCGGGCUACGUGGUGCUGCAGGAGCUCAUGGUGUUGCCGGCUGUGGCGGCGCCCGCGGUGGUG